UAUACGAUGUUCUCUUAAAAA
ensembl:piRNA 21ur-4307 ncRNA